CCGAGUUUACAACUCCCAAACCCAAUGUGAACGUUACCAAACUGUUGCCUCGGCGCGGUCACGCCCCGGGUGCGUAAAAGCCCCGGAACCAGGCGCCCGCCGGAGGAACCAACCAAACUCUUUCUGUAGUCCCCUCGCGGACGUAUUUCUUACAGCUCUGAGCAAAAAUUCAAAAUGAAUCAAAACUUUCAACAACGGAUCUCUUGGUUCUGGCAUCGAUGAAGAACGCAGCGAAAUGCGAUAAGUAAUGUGAAUUGCAGAAUUCAGUGAAUCAUCGAAUCUUUGAACGCACAUUGCGCCCGCCAGUAUUCUGGCGGGCAUGCCUGUCCGAGCGUCAUUUCAACCCUCGAACCCCUCCGGGGGAUCGGCGUUGGGGAUCGGGACCCCUCACCGGGUGCCGGCCCUGAAAUACAGUGGCGGUCUCGCCGCAGCCUCUCCUGCGCAGUAGUUUGCACAACUCGCACCGGGAGCGCGGCGCGUCCACGUCCGUAAAACACCCAACUUCUGAAAUGUUGACCUCGGAUCAGGUAGGAAUACCCGCUGAACUUAAGCAUAUCAAUAGCCGGGAGGAAA
rnacentral:rRNA from 1 species